rnacentral:tRNA from 1 species
GUGUCAAGGGAUGGGAAUCGAACCCACGACCUUCCGCUUACCGGGCAGAUGCCAUGACCACUAGGCCACACGUACA